rnacentral:rRNA from 11 species
GAGAGGGCAACAACCCAGACCGCCAGCUAAGGUCCCCAAUACCAGUUAAGUGGGAAACGAUGUGGGAAGGCACAGACAGCUAGGAGGUUGGCUUAGAAGCAGCCACCCUUUAAAGAAAGCGGAAUAGCUCACUAGUCGAGUCGGCCUGCGCGGAAGAUGUAACGGGGCUCAAACUGGUCACCGAAGCUGCGGCUGCAUACUUUGUAUGCGGGGUAGGGGAGCGUUCUGUAAGCCUGUGAAGGUGUGUUGAGAAGCAUGCUGGAGGUAUCAGAAGUGCGAAUGCUGACAUGAGUAACGACAAGGGGGGUGAAAAACCUCCCCGCCGGAAGAUCAAGGUUUCCUGCGCAACGCUAAUCGGCGCAGGGUG